UACGAAGGGGGCUAGCGUUGCUCGGAAUCACUGGGCGUAAAGCGCACGUAGGCGGCUUCUUAAGUCGGGGGUGAAAUCCUGGAGCUCAACUCCAGAACUGCCUUUGAUACUGAGGAGCUCGAGUCCGGAAGAGGUGAGUGGAACUGCGAGUGUAGAGGUGAAAUUCGUAGAUAUUCGCAAGAACACCAGUGGCGAAGGCGCUCACUGGCCCGGUACUGACGCUGAGGCGCGAAAGCCAGGGGAGCAAAGCGGG
rnacentral:rRNA from 1 species